UGUAUCUUUAAAAUGGUGCCUAAUACUUGUAUGCUUGAAAUUUGAUUUAUGAGAUUUCUGUUGAUUUGUAUUUGGCGCCCUGUUAUUUCAUUGGCUGUUGGCUAGCGGAACCCCAGUCUUAGACAGGUUAAGACAUUUACAAAACACAUUUAUAGCUAUAACUUAAUUAAUUGCUGUAUAAAAGGGUCGUAACAAUGCAAUAGAGAGGUACAAAUUAGACAAAAAACGGAAUACCAUGACUCAACUAAACAGGUUGUGCAGGCCUAUAACUGCAAUUGUAAAAUGUUUAGUCUGUUUAUGUUCUGUCUUCCAGACCCGUGGUAAUGCUCUAGUCUCCUUAAUCAUUUAGCAUAUUCACUUGUGCUCAAAUUAACACCUAACCUACUUCACCAGGCGUGUAGACAUACUACUGGUGAAAUGUCUGUCUCCUUAACCAUGUCUGUCUGCUUGCAGUACAUCCAGAGUGCCUUGCUCAAGAGCACAUCGGCAGAUUUUUCACCUACUUGGCUCUGGGAUUUGAACAAGCAACAUUUUGGUUACUGUCCCAACACUCUUAACCGCUUGGCUACCUGCCGUAGCCGUACCUGAUAGAUCAGUUUCUGUAUGGAUUCACUGCAGGUAGGCCUAUGUGAUAUUGCACCUUCAAUUUCAUGCAGAUCAGUUUAAUUGAAGGAUCAUUAUGCCAUGGUAAAAUAGAAUCCCAGAAUGACCUUGUGUUUUACAGCGAUAAUAACAAUAUAUGUUUUAGUCUUGUUUGUGAACAUCAGGUUUAGGAGGAAAUAUCCAUGCAAUAUACCUGGGUGAGAGUUCACCCUAAAAGAUAACGGCAUGGUAACACUAACGUCAGCUACCUUUGACUCCAUUGGUAAACUGUCAGGACAAUUUGUUGGACUAAGGUAAGGUGCUAUUUUUGAAUUUCAACAUUUCACUGAAAAAAAUAAGCAUCAAGCAUCACACUAAACAUGUAGUUAUCAAUUUGUGCCAAAUCGGAUAUCCUGAAUAUGCUCUGACUUGAGGCUUUGUCUCAACUUUCUCAGAGAGAUUCUUGGCUGUGAAAAUAGCUGGAACAUCCUACUGUGUGUUCCAACAUGUUUCUCUGUGGUACAGCUGCUGACAAAGGCCCUUCUUUCCAGAAGACCCAAGAUACUCAUUGAUAGAAAAGGGCAAUGCAGAGGCAUGCAAAAAAACUCUGCAGAGUCUGUGGGGUAGGGGUGAGGACAAGCUGGAGAUGGAGGAGAUGGUGUUGGAGUACGCUGCCAUAAAGGGUGAGGCCUCUAAGAGUCUACUGGAGCUGCUGAGAGACAGAAGCUUCCGAUGGCAGCUCAUCACCACGGUGGUGGUGUACAGCCGCAUCCAGUUCUCUGGCAUCAUUGCAGAGCUGCUCAAGUCGUUCAGCUUCGUGCUGUUCACCUGCAUGUGUCUGUUGGCGUCACUCUGUCUUCUUCUACCUACUGGAGACCAAGGGGAAAACCCUCCUGGAGAUCUCAGGGAGUUUAAAAACAUCACUCUCUGUGUAAAACCCCUCUCACAUGACAAGACCCUGGAGACAAAGUUAGAAAAACUGUUGGAAGCAAAAGAACUGAGAUGCAUUAUACUCAGUCUGAGUUGUUUAGUUUGUAUUUUAGUAUAUAUUUAUACACUGUGCAUUCACAGCCAUAUACCAUAUUCAAUAAAAACAUGUAAAAGUGUUAUAUCUGAAUGAGUUUUAUGGACCGAUUGAAUAUAAUAAAAUGCUUUUUA